CCUACGGGUGGCAGCAGUCGAGAAUCAUUCACAAUGGGGGAAACCCUGAUGGUGCGACGCCGCGUGGGGGAAUGAAGGUCUUCGGAUUGUAAACCCCUGUCAUGUGGGAGCAAAUUAAAAAGAUAGUACCACAAGAGGAAGAGACGGCUAACUCUGUGCCAGCAGCCGCGGUAAUACAGAGGUCUCAAGCGUUGUUCGGAAUCACGGGGCGUAAGGCGUGCGUAGGCUGUUUCGUAAGUCGUGUGUGAAAGGCGCGGGCUCAACCCGCGGACGGCACAUGAUACUGCGAGACUAGAGUAAUGGAGGGGGAACCGGAAUUCUCGGUGUAGCAGUGAAAUGCGUAGAUAUCGAGAGGAACACUCGUGGCGAAGGCGGGUUCCUGGACAUUAACUGACGCUGAGGCACGAAGGCCAGGGGAGCGAAAGGGAUUAGAUACCCUGGUAGUC
rnacentral:rRNA from 1 species